rnacentral:rRNA from 1 species
GGCGACAAGCGGUGGAGUAUAGUGGUUUAAUUCGAUGCAACGCGAAGAACCUUACCUCGGUCUUGACAUCCCGGAGACCCUUAGGAAACUAGGGGGUGCGUUCCAUCGUGGAAGAAUCUGGAGACAGGUGCUGCAUGGCUGUCGUCAGCUCGUGUCGUGAGAUGUUGGGUUAAGUCCCGCAACGAGCGCAACCCUUGCCUUUAGUUGCCAGCAGUUCGGCUGGGCACUCUAAAGGGACUGCCGGUGUUAAACCGGAGGAAGGUGGGGAUGACGUCAAGUCCUCAUGGCCUUUAUGACCAGGGCUACACACGUACUACAAUGGCCGAUACAAAGGGCAGCGACACUGCGAGGUGAAGCCAAUCCCGUAAAAUCGGUCUCAGUCCGGAUUGGAGUCUGCAACUCGACUCCAUGAAGUUGGAAUCGCUAGUAAUCGUGGAUCAGCAUGCCACGGUGAAUACGUUCCCGGGCCUU